rnacentral:misc_RNA from 1 species
AAGUCGUAACAAGGUCUCCGUAGGUGAACCUGCGGAGGGAUCAUUAACACGUAUCCAAACGUUCAAAACCCCAACGCGAACUAAUUCCCACGAGAAAGGCGAUUCUUUAGCCAGGUGAAAUUGCGAGAUCGAUUAAAGCGGUUAAGUGAUUGCUAUUGAGUCUAUUUGUUGUCCAGUAAGGGCUACCGACAUAUCGUGGCGUAACCAAAGUCACCCGAUUACUAGUGCCACCUCGGCGUGUCGAUUAAUUUAUGGCUAAUCCGAAGCCUAGUAAUCAUAUUUACCAAAACCCCUUUUUUAUAAACAAUUACUGAACAGCUUGUUAUGUGAAAGCAUGCAAGUUACUACGAAACAAUGAACAACUCUUAGCAACGGAUAUCUUGGUUCUC